rnacentral:rRNA from 1 species
CGAACGCUGGCGGCGCGUUUUAAGCAUGCAAGUCGAACGGGAAGGUAGUGCUUGCACUACUGGAGAGUGGCGAACGGGUGAGUAACACGUAGGUGAUCUACCUUGAGGCUGGGGAUAGCCUGUGGAAACACAGGGUAAUACCGAAUAUGGUGAGUUUGCUAAAGCAGAUUCAAGAAAGGCGCGAUUGCGCCACCUUAGGAUGAGCCUGCGGCUCAUUAGUUAGUUGGUGAGGUAACGGCUCACCAAGGCGACGAUGGGUAGGGGGUCUGAGAGGAUGACCCCCCACACUGGGACUGAGACACGGCCCAGACUCCUACGGGAGGCAGCAGCUAAGAAUCUUCCGCAAUGGGGGAAACCCUGACGGAGCGACGCCGCGUGAACGAAGAAGGCCGGAAGGUUGUAAAGUUCUUUUCUUAGUGAAGAAUAAUGUAGCGAGGAAAUGCGUUAUAGAUGACGUUAGCUAAGGAAUAAGCCCCGGCUAAUUAC